rnacentral:rRNA from 1 species
CAGUAGCCGCGGUAAAACGAAGGGGGCUAGCGUUGCUCGGAAUUACUGGGCGUAAAGGGAGCGUAGGCGGAUCGUUUAGUCAGGGGUGAAAUCCCGGGGCUCAACCUCGGAACUGCCUUUGAUACUGGCGAUCUUGAGUAUGGGAGAGGUGUGUGGAACUCCGAGUGUAGAGGUGAAAUUCGUAGAUAUUCGGAAGAACACCAGUGGCGAAGGCGACACACUGGCCCAUUACUGACGCUGAGGCUCGAAAGCGUGGGGAGCAAACAGGAUUAGAUACCCCCGUAGUCCCUGUCUCUUAUAC